GCGGGCUGGGACUGUUGACUUCUCGGAGCCGUUUUGAGGGUCACGGCUCAUUGCAGGAGUCUUUCUCGGUGAGUGU